rnacentral:rRNA from 1 species
CAGGCUCCGAAUUCGCCCUUAGAGUUUGAUCCUGGCUCAGGAUGAACGCUGGCGGCGUGCCUAAUACAUGCAAGUCGAACGGAGAUUGUAGCAAUACGGUCUUAGUGGCGAACGGGUGAGUAACGCGUUGGCAACCUGCCCCGAAGAGCGGGAUAAUGGUCCGAAAGGACCACUAAUACCGCAUGUGAUCCCGAGGAACAGAUACUUGGGAUGAAAGGAAGCAAUUCGCUUCGGGAGGGGCCUGCGUCCCAUCAGCUAGUUGGUAAGGUAACGGCUUACCAAGGCGAUGAUGGGUAGGCGGCCUGAGAGGGUGUACGCCCACAUUGGGACUGAGAUACGGCCCAAACUCCUACGGGAGGCAGCAGCUAAGAAUAUUCCGCAAUGGACGAAAGUCUGACGGAGCGACGCCGCGUGGAUGAAGAAGGCCGAAAGGUUGUAAAAUUCUUUUGUCGGGGAAGAAUAACCAUGGGAGGGAAUGCCCGUGGGAUGACAUGAACCGGCGAAUAAGCCCCGGCUAACUACGUGCCAGCAGCCGCGGUAACACGUAGGGGGCGAGCGUUGUUCGGAAUUACUGGGCGUAAAGGGCAUGUAGGCGGUUUUGUAAGACUGGCGUGAAAGGCUGCAGCUUAACUGUAGCAUGGCGCUGGUAACUACAAGACUUGAGUCACGGAGAGGGAGCUAGAAUUCCAGGUGUAGGGGUGAAAUCUGUAGAUAUCUGGAAGAAUACCAGUGGCGAAGGCGAGCUUCUGGCCGAUGACUGACGCUGAGGUGCGAAAGCGUGGGUAGCAAACAGGAUUAGAUACCCUGGUAGUCCACGCGGUAAACGAUGCACACUAGGUGCUGGGGCGGACGCUUCAGUGCCGGAGUUAACGUGGUAAGUGUGCCGCCUGGGGAGUAUGCUCGCAAGGGUGAAACUCAAAGGAAUUGACGGGGGCCCGCACAAGCGGUGGAGCAUGUGGUUUAAUUCGAUGGUACGCGAGGAACCUUACCUGGGCUUGACAUAUAGAGGAAUGUGGUAGAGAUGCCACAGCCGAGCAAUCGGUCUUUAUACAGGUGCUGCAUGGCUGUCGUCAGCUCGUGCCGUGAGGUGUUGGGUUAAGUCCCGCAACGAGCGCAACCCUUGUUGUGUGUUACACGUAUCACGCAAGACCGCCGGUAGAAAGCCGGAGGAAGGUGGGGAUGACGUCAAGUCAGCAUGGCCUAUAUAUCCUGGGCUACACACACGCUACAAUGGUCGGUACAAUGGGUAGCUAAGCCGCGAGGCGGAGCCAAUCCUAAAAAGCCGGUCUCAGUUCAGAUUGCAGGCUGCAACUCGCCUGCAUGAAGAUGGAGUUGCUAGUAACCGCAGGUCAGCGAUACUGCGGUGAAUACGUUCCCGGGCCUUGUACACACCGCCCGUCACGUCAUGGGAGUUGGCAACACCUGAAGUCGGUAUCCUAACCGAAAGGGGGGAGCCGCCAAAGGUGGGGUCGAUAACUGGGACGAAGUCGUAACAAGGUAGCCAAGGGCGAAUUCGACCCAG